rnacentral:tRNA from 1 species
GCGCUCGUAGCUCAGCUGGAUAGAGCAACGGCCUUCUAAGCCGUAGGUCAAAGGUUCGAAUCCUUUCGGGCGCG